rnacentral:rRNA from 1 species
CUCUUCUUGGGAAUUAUUUUGAAGUAUGGCCUGCCCACUGAUUUAUUUGAAGGGCCGCGGUAUUUUGACCGUGCAAAGGUAGCAUAAUCAUUAGUUCUUUAAUUGUGAACUGGUAUGAAUGGUUUGACGAGGCAUUAUCUGUCUUUUAUUGAUUAUUUGGUUGAAUUUGGUGUUUGGAUAAAAAUAUCUAAAUGUUGUUGUGGGACGAGAAGACCCUAUAGAGUUUUACAUAGUCUUUUUCUUUUUUGUUGGUUUUUGUUAUUGAUUUUGCUAAUGUUUUGUUGGGGUGAUGAGAAGAUUCUUUUAACUCUUCUUUUUUUUGUAUAUACUUAUUUGUAUUUUUUUGAUCCUUUUUUAUUGAUUAAAAGAUUAAAUUACCUUAGGGAUAACAGCGUAAUCUUUUUUGAGAGUUCUUAUUGACAAAAGGGUUUGCGACCUCGAUGUUGGAUUAAGAUGAAUUUUUGGUGUAGAGGCUUUAAUUAAAUUUUUAUUAGGUCUGUUCGACCUUUAAAAUCUUACA